rnacentral:lncRNA from 12 species
AUGCCAAAAGGAGAAAAUAAAACUGCACAAGUUUCAGAUGAUGACAGCGUUGUCACCGUGGUGCUGCUGGGACAAAACAGCACUGAUAAGUGCCUGAUAGGAAACACCAUGCUUGGGUAUAACUGCUUCCAGCCAGGAAAAUCCAUGUAUCAAAAGGCUCUAGGAAGAAUGAGUGACGAGCUGCUCUACAUUAUAAACACCCCGGACCUUUUCUGGAGAAUAUGCCAAGAACAAGAAGCUAAUAUUAUAGAGGAGAUGAAGCCAUCAUACACGGGUCCACGCAUGUUCCUCCUGGUACUCCACGAUAAACAGCUGUCCCAGGAAGAGGUGGAGAUGUUUACCCAAAUGAAGGAGAGAUUUGGAGAGAAAAUGACAAAAAAUAUUACUGUAGUGUUGAUCGACAACAAAGAGACAUCAAGACAGUCCUGCAACAUAAUGGAUAUACACCUCAAAAAGAUUUUACAUGAAUGUGACGAGAGAAUUUGCGUCUUCAGCAAAGACACGGCAGACUCAGAUCUGGUCAGACAGCUAUUGAUACAUAUUACAAAAACGCCAGAGAAAGUAGAAGCUGAUCCUGGCAGUCCAUCAUUAUCCUCUAGAUUACAUGAAGACAUGAAUAAGCAUGUUCAUCAGAAGGAAAAUGAUGACUCAGAACAACCAAAGACGAUGCCAGGGGAGGGUGACUGCAAUAUCAUCACCAUGGUGCUCCUGGGAGUGAACAGAGAUGACAAGUGCCUGAUAGGGAACAGUAUUCUCCAGCAUGAUUGUUUCAUGGCUGGAAAAGCCACAUAUGAAAAGGUUGUGGCUAGAGUAGCUGAUCAGAUGGUCUGUAUUGUCAACACUCCUGACCUUUUCUAUAAACCAAGCCCAGAUUCAAUAGCUGACAGUAUGGAGGAGAUGAAGCCAUCAUAUGCAGGUCCACGUAUGUUCAUCAUGGUACUGCAGGACAAAACUCUCUCACAGGAAGAGAUGGAGAUGUUCAGCCAACUGAAGGAGAGAUUUGGAAAAAAACAGCUUGAAAACAUGUUUGUUGUGCUCAUAGGUAGUGAAGAAAAUAACUUAAGAGAGACCUUUGAAGCUGAUAAGAACCUCAAAAAGAUUCUAGAUGAGUGUAAGGAGACGGUUUAUGUUUACAGGAGUAAUGUGAAAAGCACUCAGCUGGUCGGACAGCUUAUAGGACAAAACAACAUGCAAGCAGGAAUCUGA